UACGAAGGAUGCAAGCGUUUAUCCGGAUUUAUUGGGUUUAAAGGGAGCGUAGGCGGUCUUAUAAGUCAGUGGUGAAAUCUCGUUGCUUAACAACGACCGUGCCAUUGAUACUGUAGGACUUGAGUACAGUUGCCGUUGGCGGAAUGUGUCAUGUAGCGGUGAAAUGCAUAGAUAUGACACAGAACACCGAUUGCGAAGGCAGCUGACGAAACUGUAACUGACGCUGAGGCUCGAAAGCGUGGGGAUCAAACAGG
rnacentral:rRNA from 1 species